UAUAAUGCAAUUGAGUUAGUUUAGGGCAAAGAUUCGCAAAUAACAUCAACUUAACAGUAUUGUAACAGAUAUACUGUAAUUAUAUUUUCUUUGGAGGGGUUGCUGGGGAAGAUGGAUGUUUGGAAAAACAGCACAUGCGUCUUGUGUUUUCCAUAAUCUGGGGAGGGAAAACUGGCCGAACUUGAACUGCAUCAAGGACCUAAUAAGACCAGAUCAACCAAAUACACUCUCAACCUUCAAGACAGGCUUGUUUUUAAAAGCCCAGCCGGAUGUGCUGCAGGAGUGCCGUGUGGGAAUAUUACAUACAAAUGUAAAAAAAAAAAAGUUAAUCCAAUCGAAAUUAAUUAAAAUGGACAAAAAAGAAUGUAUGUUUUUGCCUGUUGGUCUUGCGGAAACAGCACCCCUGAGUAUAAUGAGAGGUGUAGGAGGGCUGGGAAUCAUGGUGAGGGAAAUGUGACACAUUAUGAGCCCAUUAGCUGUUCAAAUGUUUGUGGACAUGAUGGACUAUUGCAAAUGCUGUGGUACUUAGACAGCGACAGGGAACAACUGUGGUAAUUAUUUUAAGGAUCUAACUCUAUGGGAUACCAAGGGUUAUUUCCUGAGGCAUUAUGAGUACAAUUGCUGUAUCCUUUAUUGAAAAGUACACAAAGAUUCGCAGCAUGGCUUUUAUUGCUGAUGUUGUUCUUGCUCAGACACUGAACUGAACUGAAAAACUGAGAAAAAAAAACAUGUUUAAAGAUUAAUAGCAGCCAUGUACCCCACAUACCUUGAAAUACUGUAUGCUUAUGCAUUAAUUUUUAAUGGUUUAAUGAAAUCCAUUAAAGCUUUGCACUUGUUCUG